rnacentral:rRNA from 1 species
GACGAACGCUGGCGGCGUGCCUAAUACAUGCAAGUAGAACGCUGAAGGGGGAGCUUGCUUCUCUGGAUGAGUUGCGAACGGGUGAGUAACGCGUAGGUAACCUGCCUGGUAGCGGGGGAUAACUAUUGGAAACGAUAGCUAAUACCGCAUAAGAGUAGAUGUUGCAUGACAUUUGCUUAAAAGGUGCAAUUGCAUCACUACCAGAUGGACCUGCGUUGUAUUAGCUAGUUGGUGAGGUAACGGCUCACCAAGGCAACGAUACAUAGCCGACCUGAGAGGGUGAUCGGCCACACUGGGACUGAGACACGGCCCAGACUCCUACGGGAGGCAGCAGUAGGGAAUCUUCGGCAAUGGACGGAAGUCUGACCGAGCAACGCCGCGUGAGUGAAGAAGGUUUUCGGAUCGUAAAGCUCUGUUGUAAGAGAAGAACGAGUGUGAGAGUGGAAAGUUCACACUAUGACGGUAUCUUACCAGAAAGGGACGGCUAACUACGUG